GAUGAACGCUAGCGAUAGGCCUAACACAUGCAAGUCGAGGGGCAUCACAUGAAGUAGCAAUACGGAUGGUGGCGACCGGCGCACGGGUGAGUAACACGUAUGCAACCUGCCUUCAACAAGGGGAUAACCCGUUGAAAGACGGACUAAUACCCUAUAACACAGGGGUCCCGCAUGGGAAUAUUUGUUAAAGGACAACCGGUUGAAGAUGGGCAUGCGUUCCAUUAGCUAGUUGGCGGGGUAACGGCCCACCAAGGCAACGAUGGAUAGGGGAACUGAGAGGUUUAUCCCCCACACUGGUACUGAGACACGGACCAGACUCCUACGGGAGGCAGCAGUGAGGAAUAUUGGUCAAUGGACGCAAGUCUGAACCAGCCACGUCGCGUGAAGGAAGACGGCCCUACGGGUUGUAAACUUCUUUUGUAAGGGAAUAAAGUGUAGUACGCGUACUAUUUUGCAUGUACCUUACGAAUAAGGAUCGCUAACCCGUGCCAGCAGCCGCGGUAAAUACG
rnacentral:rRNA from 1 species